rnacentral:rRNA from 1 species
UACGGAAGGCAGCAGGGGGAAUAUUGCACAAUGGGCGAAAGCCUGAUGCAGCUAUGCCGCGUGUAUGAAGAAGGCCUUAGGGUUGUAAAGUACUUUCAUCGGGGAGGAAAAACAAAACUAAUAAUUUUAUUUCUUGACGUUACCCGAAAAAGAAGCACCGGCUAACUCCGUGCCAGCAGCCGCGGUAAUACGGAGGGUGCUAGCGUUAAUCAGAAUUACUGGGCGUAAAGAGCACGUAGGUGGUUUUUUUAAGUUCAGAUGUGAAAUCCCUGGGCUUAACCUAGGAACUGCAUUUUGAAACUGAAAUACUAGAGUAUCGUAGAGGGAGGUAGAAUUCUAGGUGUAGCGGUGAAAUGCGUAGAUAUCUGGAGGAAUACCUGUGGCGAAAGCGGCCUCCUAAACGAAUACUGACACUGAGGGUGCGAAAGCGUGGGGAGCGAAACAGGGAUUAGAUACC